rnacentral:rRNA from 1 species
UACGUAGGGCGCAAGCGUUGUCCGGAAUUAUUGGGCGUAAAGAGCUCGUAGGCGGUUUGUCGCGUCUGCUGUGAAAUCCCGAGGCUCAACCUCGGGCUUGCAGUGGGUACGGGCAGACUAGAGUGCGGUAGGGGAGACUGGAAUUCCUGGUGUAGCGGUGGAAUGCGCAGAUAUCAGGAGGAACACCGGUGGCGAAGGCGGGUCUCUGGGCCGAUACUGACGCUGAGGAGCGAAAGCGUGGGGAGCGAACAGG